CCUUUGAUAGCUCAGCUGGUAAAGCAGAGGACUAUAGAUCCUUAGGUUGCUGGUUCAACUCCAGCUUGAAGGA